GCAAAUACAGUUUAAAGGAACCCGGACAGGGCAUAGUGGCUCUCCUCUGUAAUCCCAGCACUUUGGGAGGCUGAGGCCAGGAGUUUGAGAUCAGCACGGGCAACACAGCAAGACAAUUAAGAUUUGAUGCUUACAUUUUUCUCCUCAAGGGUGGGGAAAAUAGUCCCUAACCUCACGAACUGAAGCAUGCAGGGGCCACCACCCAAGGGCUUUUGCAAAGGUUAGGUUUUCUGUUAGGGUCUUGGGAAAUCUUUAAGAAUGUCAAUUCCUUGGGAAUAGCUUAUUUUAAGGGAUUUGGACAUGGAAAGGUCUGUUUGGGAUGGUUUGCUCUUGUAAAGUCUUUGGGGAUAUUUGUCAUCAUGGCAUCUUUGAUGGGCUUUUCUGGAGGUUGUUAUUGCAGGGUUUCUGGUACUGACUACUAUUGUAGUGCCUUGGAGAUGUUGAAUUUGUCAUCAUAUCCUAUUUGGGUAAGUCUAUUUAGAGGGUCUCCAAGAAGGGCAGCUUCCUGUCAAUAUCCUCUUUCCCUACAGGAUCCCUCUUCAUCGAGUCCAACCUGGACGCAGGACCCUGAACCUACUGAGGGGAUGGAGAGAACCAGCAGAGCUCCCCAAGUUGGGGGCCCCAUCCCCUGGGGACAAGACCAUCUUCGUACCUCUCUCGAACUACAGGGAUGUGAGUCACAGCCCCACACAGCCCUCACCCCUGUGCCCUUGAGCCAAACUCUUCGUUUACUCUCCUCUUUUGCUAUCAGGUGCAGUAUUUUGGGGAAAUUGGGCUGGGAACGCCUCCACAAAACUUCACUGUUGCCUUUGACACUGGCUCCUCCAAUCUCUGGGUCCCGUCCAGGAGAUGCCACUUCUUCAGUGUGCCCUGCUGUGAGCUUCUAUGCGGGAGAAUAAGGCUGAAUGGGGGUGAAGGGAGGAGGCGGGGCUGGACCUCAGCUUCUCAGAGGCUUUUGAGGAACUGUUCUUUUAUCAUGCCCUCACAGGUCAGAAAGUCAAAGGGGCAGUAGGCACUGGGGAGAUUCCCUCCCCCAUGACACCUUUCUGACCUCUAACCUAGGGUUACACCACCGAUUUGAUCCCAAAGCCUCUAGCUCCUUCCAGGCCAAUGGGACCAAGUUUGCCAUUCAAUAUGGAACUGGGCGGGUAGAUGGAAUCCUGAGCGAGGACAAGCUGACUGUGAGUGGCCUUUGACUCUCAGAAGUCUUGAGCCUGGGAGAACCCCAUUGUCUAAGAUCAUCUGGCUUAGGAAGAGGCUCGAGGAGGAGCUUCCCAAGCCAAUGGAUGGGGCUUUUCAAGUGGGGAGGAGGGCCUGCCUUUCAGAGUGAAGGGAUGGUGCGUCACAAGGACGGGGAGGGGCUUCCUGGGUGAAGAGGUGGGGCUUCUCAAGCAGGGAGGAGGAGCUUCCUGGGUGAAGAGGUGGGGCUUCUCAAGCAGGGAGGAGGAGCUUCCUGGGUGAAGAGGUGGGGCUUCUCGAGCAGGGGAGGAGCUUCCUGGGUGAAGAGGUGGGGCUUCUCAAGGAGAAGAAAGGGGUUCCUGGGUGAAGGGGUGGGGCUUCUCAAGAGGCAUAGUUUCCUAGAAAGUUGGGGCUUGCAUCCAGAAGUCCCCAGACCUAGGAUUCAUGCCUUGGUUUGGGAGACCUCAGGACAUGUGGUUAUUGUCCUCCCAAAAGUAACUGGUCACAUCUCAAUCUACCCCUAGAUUGGUGGAAUCAAGGGUGCAUCAGUGAUUUUCGGGGAGGCUCUCUGGGAGCCCAGCCUGGUCUUCGCUUUUGCCCAUUUUGAUGGGAUAUUGGGCCUCGGUUUUCCCAUUCUGUCUGUGGAAGGAGUUCGGCCCCCGAUGGAUGUACUGGUGGAGCAGGGGCUAUUGGAUAAGCCUGUCUUCUCCUUUUACCUCAACAGGGACCCUGAAGAGCCUGAUGGAGGAGAGCUGGUCCUGGGGGGCUCAGACCCGGCACACUACAUCCCACCCCUCACCUUCGUGCCAGUCACGGUCCCUGCCUACUGGCAGAUCCACAUGGAGCGGUGAGGGACUUGGUCUCCUGGCUCUGGAGCUGGAGGCUGGGGGCCUGGACUCCUAGGACCCUGCCUCUGAUGACUGCCUCCUUCCCCCUCAGUGUGAAGGUGGGCCCAGGGCUGACUCUCUGUGCCCAGGGCUGUGCUGCCAUCCUGGAUACGGGCACGUCCCUCAUCACAGGACCCACUGAGGAGAUCCGGGCCCUGCAUGCAGCCAUUGGGGGAAUCCCCUUGCUGGCUGGGGAGGUGAGGUCCCAGUCUGGUGGGUACGGGCUGGGAAGGCUGAUGGCAGUUUGACAGUGAACAUCAAAGGGCCUAAGGGUGGGAGGCAAGUAUUUAAGGGGCAUUCCAGGGCAGCAGGCACUGGACUUCGUGACAGUCUGGAGGGUGGUGGAGGAAUUGAGGACACUUUCCACGUGUCUACACUGCGACUCUGCGGAUGGUGGCCGGGUGGAGGGAGACGAUCAUGCAGGUUUGCUUGGGACUGCGUAAGUCUAGGCGGCAGGGCCUCUGCACACAGGACGCUGAGUACCCAGGUGCUCAAUAGGGAAAUUACCCUAUGGCACUGGGGAGCCACGGAAGGGACUGAACAGAGCAGGAAUCUCAUCUUCACUUUUCCUCUUCUCCCCCAGUACAUCAUCCUGUGCUCGGAAAUCCCAAAGCUCCCCGCAGUCUCCUUCCUUCUUGGGGGGGUCUGGUUUAACCUCACGGCCCAUGAUUACGUCAUCCAGGUAGGUGGCCAUCACCAUGACGCCAUAGUGACGUCAUAUGACGGUUUGAGAGGGUAGAGCUGAGAGACGUCACUAGGAAGGGAAGGGGCCACAGAAACAUUUCUUGUCCCUGUGAUGGCAGUUUGUUGGCGAACAUCAAAGAACCCGAGGGUGGGGGGGAUGGACGGGCUCCCAGGCAAAUGGCCGUCCUUGUGGCCGCGACACCCAGUUGUCGUCUUGUUGCCUUGCAGACUACUCGAAAUGGCGUCCGCCUCUGCUUGUCCGGUUUCCAGGCCCUGGAUGUCCCUCCGCCUACAGGGCCCUUCUGGAUCCUCGGUGACGUCUUCUUGGGGACGUAUGUGGCCGUCUUCGACCGCGGGGACAUGAAGAGCAGCGCCCGGGUGGGCCUGGCGCGCGCUCGCACUCGCGGAGCGGACCUGGGAUGGGGAGAGACUGCGCAGGCGCAGUUCCCCGGGUGACGCCCAAGUGAAGCGCAUGCGCAGCGGGUGGUCGCGGAGGUCCUGCUACCCAGUAAAAAUCCACUAUUUCCAUUG
rnacentral:sRNA from 1 species